GAUGAAGAACGUAGCGAAAUGCGAUAAGUAAUGUGAAUUGCAGAAUUCAGUGAAUCAUCGAAUCUUUGAACGCACAUUGCGCCCGUCAGUAUUCUGGCGGGCAUGCCUGUUCGAGCGUCAUUACGCCCCUCAAGUCCCCUGUGGACUUGGUGUUGGGGAUCGGCGAGGCUGGUUUUCCAGCACAGCCGUCCCUUAAAUUAAUUGGCGGUCUCGCCGUGGCCCUCCUCUGCGCAGUAGAAAAACACUCGCAACAGGAGCCCGGCGCGGUCCACUGCCGUAAAACCCCCAACUUUUUAUAGUUGACCUCGAAUCAGGUAGGACUACCCGCUGAACUUAAGCAUAUCAAUAAGCGGAGGA
rnacentral:misc_RNA from 1 species